AGGACGAACGCUGGCGGCGCGCUUAAUACAUGCAAGUCGAGCGAGAACCAGGGCUUCGGCUCUGGGGACAGCGGCGAACGGGUGAGUAACACGUGGGUAAUCAACCCCCGACACCGGGAUAGCCCAGGGAAACUUGGAUUAAUACCGGAUGCUCCGUCUGGCCUUCGGGCCGGCCGGAAAAGGGUAGCUUCGGCCUCCGGUCGGGGACGAGCCCGCGGCGGAUUAGCUUGUUGGUGAGGUAAAGGCUCACCAAGGCGACGAUCCGUAGCUGGUCUGAGAGGACGAUCAGCCACACUGGGACUGAGACACGGCCCAGACUCCUACGGGAGGCAGCAGUGGGGAAUUUUGCGCAAUGGGGGAAACCCUGACGCAGCAACGCCGCGUGGAGGAUGAAGUCCCUUGGGACGUAAACUCCUUUCGACCGGGACGAUAAUGACGGUACCGGUGGAAGAAGCCCGGCUAACUUCGUGCCAGCAGCCGC
rnacentral:rRNA from 1 species